rnacentral:rRNA from 1 species
AGAGUUUGAUCCUGGCUCAGGAUGAACGCUAGCGGCAGGCUUAACACAUGCAAGUCGAGGGGUAACGAUGAACUUCGGUUCAGGCGACGACCGGCGCACGGGUGAGUAACGCGUAUACAAUCUACCUUUUACAGGGAGAUAGCCCAGAGAAAUUUGGAUUAAUAUCCCAUAGUAUUAUAAUUUGACAUCAAAUAAUAAUUAAAGCUUCGGCGGUAAAAGAUGAGUAUGCGUCCUAUUAGUUUGUUGGUGAGGUAACGGCUCACCAAGACUACGAUAGGUAGGGGUCCUGAGAGGGAGAUCCCCCACACUGGUACUGAGACACGGACCAGACUCCUACGGGAGGCAGCAGUGAGGAAUAUUGGACAAUGGGCGAAAGCCUGAUCCAGCCAUGCCGCGUGCAGGAAGACGGUCCUAUGGAUUGUAAACUGCUUUUAUACAGGAAGAAACCCACUUACGUGUAAGUGGCUGACGGUACUGUAAGAAUAAGCACCGGCUAACUCCGU